AGCUGCACUUCAUGAAGACACCCUCAAACUAUCCAUAAGGGAGCCCUAAGCUAAAAUCCUUUCUGGGCAGCUAUCUUCUCUGACAACCCCUCUCAUAUCUUGUGAAGACUGAAAAUGCAAACCAGCCCCGUAGGCAGCAGAAAGGAACCACCUGGACAGUCACCAUCUAACGUGAAUUCAAAACAGGCUGAAAAGAACUUUCUAUAAACUUUCCAAAGAAAAAGAAAAAUCAUUCGACUGAGACCAAACAUACAACAUUUCAGGCCACAAGCAACUUGUUGGAGAAAGUUCUUAAACAUUGAUUGCUGUAGGUUAGAAUGUAAACUUGAUUUCAAACUUACCUGUAACAAAAAUUGCCCAUGGGUGCUGUAAUAAAUAAAAAGAACCCUUUGAGAUCCCAAAUAAUUCAGGGACUAUUUGUGCAGAAUUAAAAAUUAUAGA